GAACGGGUGAGUACACGUGGGUGAUCUGCCCUGCACUUUGGGAUAAGCCUGGGAAACUGGGUCUAAUACCGAAUAGGACCACGCGCUUCAUGGUGUGUGGUGGAAAGCUUUUGCGGUGUGGGAUGGNCNNNCGGCCUAUCAGCUUGUUGGUGGGGUAAUGGCCUACCAAGGCGACGACGGGUAGCCGGCCUGAGAGGGUGACCGGCCACACUGGGACUGAGAUACGGCCCAGACUCCUACGGGAGGCAGCAGUGGGGAAUAUUGCGCAAUGGGCGCAAGCCUGAUGCAGCGACGCCGCGUGAGGGAUGACGGCCUUCGGGUUGUAAACCUCUUUCAAUAGGGACGAAGCGCAAGUGACGGUACCUAUAGAAGAAGCACCGGCCAACUACGUGCCAGCAGCCGCGGUAAUACGUAGGGUGCGAGCGUUGUCCGGAAUUACUGGGCGUAAAGAGCUCGUAGGUGGUUUGUCGCGUUGUUCGUGAAAACUCACAGCUUAACUGUGGGCGUGCGGGCGAUACGGGCAGACUAGAGUACUGCAGGGGAGACUGGAAUUCCUGGUGUAGCGGUGGAAUGCGCAGAUAUCAGGAGGAACACCGGUGGCGAAGGCGGGUCUCUGGGCAGUAACUGGCGCUGAGGAGCGAAAGCGUGGGGAGCGAACAGGAUUAGAUACCCUGGUAGUCCACGCCGUANACGGUGGGUACUAGGUGUGGGUUCCUUCCUUGGGAUCCGUGCCGUAGCUAACGCAUUAAGUACCCCGCCUGGGGAGUACGGCCGNCAGGCUA
rnacentral:rRNA from 1 species